AGGACGAACGCUGGCGGCGCGCUUAAUACAUGCAAGUCGAGCGAGAACCGGUCCUUCGGGACCGGGAAAGCGGCGAACGGGUGAGUAACACGUGGGUAAUCUGCCCUCGGUACUGGGAUAGCCCGGGGAAACCCGGAUUAAUACCGGAUAGCCUUUCGAGCUCUUGGGCUCGUUAGAAAAGGUGGCUUCGGCUUCCGACUGGGGAUGAGCCCGCGGCGGAUUAGCUUGUUGGUGAGGUAAUGGCUCACCAAGGCUUCGAUCCGUAGCUGGUCUGAGAGGACGAUCAGCCACACUGGGACUGAGACACGGCCCAGACUCCUACGGGAGGCAGCAGUAGGGAAUCUUGCGCAAUGGGCGAAAAGCCUGACGCAGCGACGCCGCGUGCGGAAGAAGGCCUCGGUGUAACGCUUCAGGAGGACGAAGCCACUCGGUAAUACCCAGAGGUGACGACUCCAGAAGAAGACCCGCGUAACUACGUGCCAGCAGCCGCGUAACUCUGAAGCGGACGUGCGAAGACG
rnacentral:rRNA from 1 species